GGUGGACAAUUUCCAGUCUGGAGUCUGCAUUUGGAGAGAUUCUACAGCACAUGCAUGAAUGGACACUCUUAGAAACAGAAGCACAUAUGUGUUUGCAACCAUAGCUUCAGUUAUGUAAAGAAAACUGCCCUGAGAAAAUGAAGUAAAAACACAAGGAAAUCAGAGAGGAGAUAUGGAAAGAGAUGAGACCCGUGUUUUUACCUAAGCUAAUCUGCUGAGGAAAGAGGGUGAAGGUGAAAAGAAGACCUAAGUGUUACCUUGUUGGAUGCUGCUCUGCAUGGAAGAAAACAUUAGGACUGGUAAAGAGGCUCUCCUCCUAACACACGUGUGCUGCCUAUUCAUUUAAGAAACUGAUGGUUUUACGACUAGUAGCAUGGUGUAUUUAACAAACACUGGCCUAGGACUCAUAAACAGAGAUGACUACAGGUUGAUGAUCUAAUAAAUAUUCUAGUCAUCACUGCCUGGGCUAAAGGGGAGGAGGUGGUGUCCCAAGGGCAUUUAUAUCUUUGCUCUGUAUUUGGAGGAGAAUGGAGAGUUCCAAAUGAUCAGAGCUUGCACAUUACUAGAUCCCCUUUCUGGGGAAAAUGCUGCGAUCAAUUGAAGUUGUCAUCCUCAUGAAGCUCAUACUGUUUUGCCUGAAAUGGAGUAUCUGCUGAGGAGACUGGAAUGAGGAAGGAAUUCAUUAAGUCUGAUUGUCUCUGAACAGCAAAGUUCCUGAGGCUCCCUAAGGAAAUUUCCAUGUAAAUGUAAAUUGACUAACCAUCUAG
rnacentral:lncRNA from 10 species